rnacentral:lncRNA from 1 species
AAAAGCAAAAUAUCACUCCUUCAAAAAUAAAUUAUAUGAAAAACAUUUCGAUGUUACUAUGGUGCUGCACAGAUUACGCACUUCUGGUGAUUAGGAAGGGCAUCCACUUUUAAAAUGUAGAAUGUUUAAUGAAGUUAGUUGGGUUUUAUAUUAUUGUUUAUACUGUAAAUGUAUUUCUCUAGAGUUGUAAACUAGCUAAAUGCUAUAUUCUCCUUCUGCAGAACAACAGAUUUUCUAAAUGUCCACCAUGUUUCACUGUGUUGUCUCAGAUAAAUAACCAAAUGUUACUGUUGCUGGUUUCCUUCAGUGCCUGAAUGUGUCCUUAAAGUAUUGAUGUGUGUGUUUGCAGAAAUGUGGCGUGCAUAGCAAUGAGUUGGGGAAAGUUCUGCGUUACCUGGGCCUGAAGAAACAACGUUUGGCCAAAAUACUGCCGCUGGUGGAGUUCAUCACCUGGUCUCUGCUCAAACAGGACAGCACGGUGAGAAAAGGCCAAUAGCCACUGCAGGAAAUGACCAAAAGAGUGGGAAAAACAGAACGUAAAACACUGAGUCUGGAUCAAGCAUUUUUGGCAUUAGAUAAAUAUGGUUUGAUUUAAGAAUAUUUGCCUAGAGUCUGUCUGUUUUUACAAUGAACAGCAUGUGAGUUCAAAGUAUAAUCUGUUUUAUAUUUGUUAGGUGUGAAUAAUCAAACUGAAAUCACAGCUCUGACCUGAAUUGGCAAUUGGCUCUGAGUUAUCAAUAAUAUCAGCAGGUUACGAAAUACUUAUAUGAACCCUGUUCUAUGAUUUAGUUUAUAUGACGCUGAUCCACAUCGACUCCGAUAAGCUCCAAUUAUCAGAGAGAAGAUAAACUGUCAUCCCAUUUACAGACCAGGUGUGGUUUCCAUAAACAAAGUUCAUCCAGGAAGGACACCCUCUUACUGAAGGAAUAGGAUAAUAUCAUAUAAAUGCUGCUCCUGUGAAACCCAGUCUCAUGUUUUCUGUCUUUUUCUUUGUUUCCAGAAGCUGAUUCCACAGUUGUGGUUACUGGCAAAACAAAAGACCUGGAAAGCAGGAAUUCCACGAUACAUCCCCAGCUCAGUCUGGAGUUGGAUCUGCAGCGCAGC